rfam:Glossina morsitans morsitans, isolate Yale, WGS project CCAG01000000 data, contig: ctg10022485
AUUCCGGUGACCAUAGGGUGUCAUUCCAGUGCUUGACACUGGAAUCCAGGAAAUUUUGCUUGUAAGUAAGCAAACUGAUUUGGUGAGCAUAAAAAGUGGCUGAUCUUAUGCUGAAUAAACGCUUUUGAUGAAGUUGCAUGGAAAGCUGGAUCCCAGUGUCUGGGCACUGGGAUGACAUCCUUCUUGGUGGAGUGU